AGCGAGGAGGUUGGCUCAGAAGCAGCCAUCCUUUAAAAAGUGCGUAAAAGCUUACUCGUCAAGGCUAGUGGCGCCUAAAGUGGACGGGACUAAGCCGACUGCCGAUACUGCAGAUCUCGAAAGAGAAUGAUAGACAGGCGUCUUGCAAGGGCAGAAGUGUUUUCUCAAGAAAACAUGGACCUUGUCAGAAUGAAAAUCCUGGCAGUAGUAGGAUCUUAGCAGAGUGAGAAUCUCUGCCACCGAAAGGCUAAGGGUUCCUUGACAAUGUAGUUCAGUCAAGGGUAAGUCGCUCCUAACCGCAUUCCUAACAGUUAUGCGGGAAAGGGAAAUCGGUUAAUAUUCCGAUACCGUCAAGGUAUUUGGUAACAAAAGCUUAGAAAGUAACGCUUCGGGUAGGGUUGACGCAUGUUCUGCGCUAACCAUGGCAUGCCUGUGGAGUAUCGUAAUGAUGAGAAGCAGGCAAACCUGGGAAUGGGUAACUCAGCUUGUGCCUGGAGCCCUUGAAAAGCUUUCUAAGUUAAAUCCUUGAUGUGCGUACCCAGAACCAGCACUGGUAGCCUGGAUGAGAAGUCUAAGGUGUGAAGGUGUAAUUCGAUUAAGGGAAUUCGGCAUAUUAGCCCCGUAACUUCGGUUUAAGGGGUCCCUGCAUUCCUAAGCGGGUCUGCAGGGCGCAGUGACUAGGACGGCCCGACUGUUUAACAAAAACUUAACUGGCUGCUAAGCCGUAAGGCCUUGUAUAGCCGGUGACGUCUGUCCAGUGCCGGCACUUCAAACUCCAGUCCAAUGGAGCUAAGAACCGGUAAACGACGGGAGUAACUAUAACUCUCUUAAGGUGGAAAUACUGCCUUAGUAAAAUCUGGCUGUAUGCUGGAACGUCUCGUUGAAGCAACAUAGGUAAUUGCCGUAGUGAUGCGGUAACAACUCCUAACAAUUGUUGUGGAGAGAUAAUCAGCAGGAAAGGUUUCUCGAUGAGAAAAAUCCUCAGAGACUGUACGCCGGACACGCAAAGUGAAGAUACAGUCCGACCCCAGCAGCGAUGUUGGGAAGUCAGCAGAAAUGUUGGCUCGCCUCAAUUGAGGUCUCGAAAGUAACAGAUGUGAGCGAAAUACCUUGUCGUUUGAUUGACGACGCGCAUCAAUGACGUAACGAGGUCGUCACUGUCCCUAAUUGAAAACCUCCGAACAUUCUAUCAUGGUGCGAAGGCCAUGGAUCUCCAGUGGGAAGCGAAGACCCCGUGAAACUUUACUGUAGCUUGCUGCUGCGAUUCGGGUUCUGUUGUAUAGCGUAAGUGGGAGUUAAGCUGAGCAAUCAGUGGUACGCCAAUGUAACACCACUCUACGGAACCUGAAUUGCUAACUUAGCAAUAAGGACAACGGUUGGCGGACAGUUUGGCUGGGGUGGCACACUCCUGAAAAAAUAUCAGGAGUGCCCAAAGGUUGGCUCAGACGGGUCGGAAAUCCGUCGCAGAGUGCAAGUGCAUAAGCCAGCCUGAUUGGAUUCCUAAUAGGAAAGAAUCCAAACAAGAAAUUGUGGACUAGCGAACCUCUGUACCUCAUUAAUCGAGGUCAGAGAUGACCGAAAAGUUACUCCGGGGAUAACAGAGUUGUCUCGCCUGAGAGCUCGUUUAAGAGCGCUCGGUUUGAUAACUGUUUAUUCCAAUUACGGUCACGUUAGAAUUUGGGGUUAGUUAAUUAGUGUUAGCUAGCUCAUUGACGUAACUGAAUUGGUAGACAGUACUAUAAUCCGAACGUUCUAGAGCAAAUCGACG
rnacentral:rRNA from 1 species